rnacentral:lncRNA from 1 species
GACAAUCAUCAAAAAGGAGGUUCAACAAUUCCACAUAUGGAUUCAGGUUAGCUUCCUCUCAUGUAGUUUAAUUCCGAAUUAUUCAAUAUGAAGGUUGUUAUAUUUAGUCGGAAUCAUAAUUCUAACAUUGAUCUGAUUGGUAGUUGUAACUGUUGAAAUCUGUUUUUCAUCAAAACACAUAACUGCUAAAAUUGCGAUUAAUGCUAACCGUCGUUAGGCUUCUCGCACCAUUAUUGCAAUUAACUAAUAAUUAAUUUAUUUACUAUUGAUAUGUAACUGUUGCUCCCAUCGCAUUCCGUCGUAAAUAGAUAUUUUAUAUUUAAGAUGAAUAAAACAAUUUUUUGAAGGAAAAGGUGGGAAAAAAGCCAUAAAAAAAAUGAUAAUAAAGGUAAAUGGUAAAGCUGGCCAAAUAGAUAUGCCACCUCACUCUUUUUUUCCCAGCUUUAUUUAUAGAUACAUAGAUAGAUAGAUAGAUGAUACAAUGAAUCCUAUAUACAAUACAUAUUCUACUCCUACUACAUAUGAUACUAGACAUGUUCUACUCCUACUACAUAUGAUACUAGGACAUAUUUUAUUCCUACUACAUAUGACACUUGGACUAUUUACACAUAACAAUCUAACAACUCAUUUACGGGAGUGAUAAUAGUGACUGAAGCCUUGGGGCAUGAUUAAAUCCAAGACUUGUUCAUCUGAUCAAGCUAGAUCUCUUUAUGUUAUAUAACUGGAGUUAGAAUUGAACAGAAAAUGAAUGUUGAUGGAAUCAGUUUAAAUUGUUGCAUUCUUGAAAAUACCUUUGCUUGUCACAUUUCUAUGGAGAUUUUAUUCAGUCGUAAUCUGCCUUCAGCUGUUCAAUUUUGGGUUUUCAAUAAUCAAGACAGGUAUCUCAGUUGUUUUUCUUCUGAAUGAUCAUACUACUAUGGUUUGCAGAAGUAAGAGUGCUUGCUAGAUCACGACUCAUUAAAAAUCUAGUUUUAUUAGGAUGUGUCUUUUAAUAUGGUGAGAUGGAGAAGUUCUGUUUCUUUCUAAAAAAAGAUAUGGUGUAGAUGGAGAAAUAUGAAAAGAUGUCAUCCCCCUAUUUAGUAGGGUAAGUUUGAGGUUCCACUUUACUUUACCUUAUAGGAGUAAUAGAGAAAGUUUAUUGAGGUUUCACUUUAAUUUACCUUAUUUAAAAAAAAGUUUAUUGAGGUUUCACUAUCUUUGCUUUAGGGUCCCGAUGUUCAAGACAUUCUGCUAUAUGGUGUGGGGCUAGGAAUGAGAGCUUGGAAUUACAUGGUGCCAACCACCUUUGUUGCUCACUAGUCGCCAUCACCUAAAGGCUGAAGGAAACCCUCAUGGAAAUUACCUCUCUAGAUAACUAAAAGGGCAGCUUCCAAGAAAGAAAUUAAUCAUAUUCUUGACAGUACAAUCAUCUUUCUUGCACAUUUGCAUUAUGUACCUUUUGCAUGUGACUUGCCACUUUAUGUUGAUUGGAGGUUAGACAUCAAAGAUGAAGGAUACAUAAACUAGAAAAUUGAGUAUGGUUGGGUUAAACAUAACAGCUUGAGUGGAAAGAUGUGUAUUUUUUUAAUUGGCAUUUUAUGUUUGCACAUAAAAGUGUCAUGAUUUGGCUCAGUGCAUUACAAAAAAGAAUUAGGACAUACCAAAGACAAGAAAAACUAAUGCAUUUAAGUGCUUGUUUGAGGUGUGCGUCAGUUUUGUAUGGUUUUCUUAAGGAUCGGAGGAGGAGGCGGGGGUGAAGCUAUGUUGACCAUGGAUGGUCCGUUCACCGAAAAGUUAUAUUACGUAUAAGGUAAAAUAUUAUUAAUUAUUGAUUAAAAAUAGACUUUGAACACCCUUGCAUAAUCCACUGGCAAAGAGCCUUCAAAAUUUAAAAAUCCUUAUUGAAUUUCUUGGCUUCGCAACUGAGUGGAGGGCCCUAAAAGGUUCUUACUCUCAAAAGUUCGGUGAAUGCACAAAAUUGAGAUACAAGAUUGACAUAAGUGCCUAGAAGAGUGGCAAACAUAACUUUGUAUUCUUUUGUCUUUUAAAUUCAAAAUAUAAUUGAAUUUUUUUGCAGAGAUGAGGAAGGGGGGCGUGAACUAGCAGCAUAAACGCAGUCCUCCAACCGUUACAGGGAAGGAUGGGGACAGGACAUCCAAAUGGGACAUGGAAAUCUAUAUAGCAAUCAAGGUAGUAGGUCCCUCUGCUCCCUUACCACCCACCCCCCUUCAUGUUAUUGGAUAUCACCAUCCCCUAAAACUCCCGAAGGUAGUAGGUCCCUGUGCUCCCUCACCACCCACCCCCUUCAUGUUAUUGGAUAUCACCAUCCCCCAAAACUCCCGAAAUUUCAGCCCCAUAAUAAAAUAUGUUCGUUCAUUUUGGACUUGCUAAAGCUGUGUGGUUAUUGGUUGUUGAUUCCUCAUAUAACAAAAAAAGAAAAAAAGAAAAAAAAUGAGAGUAAUGGUAGAGCUCAUACAUUUCGUGGUGAUCUUAAAUGAGUUUGAAGAUUGUGAAAUGAAUGAAGUUAGGAGGACCCCGCUUAUUUACUCUGUCUUUGUCUUUAAAAUUUGUCCUGCAUUCUCAUUAAUGUUUGUGUGCAGGUUGCAGUAUAUGCUAACUAAUGCAUCACUAACAACACAUUCAUUUCCCUAUUGGAGUACUAACCUUUACUUACUUCCACUUGGACAAAAAAUGAAAUUAUAAAAAGAGAAAACGAUAACUACCUUUUUAUAGUUGGCCGCCAACUUUUGAAAUACAAUUGAAAUAUUUUAUGACAAAAAGAUGAGCUCAAAUUUGGAAAUCCUUGAUAGUGGGAAAACUGAAAAAUUGGUGAUGUGCAC